rnacentral:rRNA from 1 species
AAGAUUAAGCCAUGCAUGUCUAAGUAUAAGCAAUUAUACAGUGAAACUGCGAAUGGCUCAUUAAAUCAGUUAUCGUUUAUUUGAUAGUACCUUUACUACUUGGAUAACCGUGGUAAUUCUAGAGCUAAUACAUGCAUAAAAUCCCGACUUUUUGGAAGGGAUGUAUUUAUUAGAUAAAAAUACAAUGCUUUUCGGAGCUCUUUGAUGAUUCAUAAUAACUUCUCGAAUCGCAU